GUGGGGAAUUUUGCGCAAUGGGCGAAAGCCUGACGCAGCGACGCCGCGUGAGGGAUGAAGGUCUUAGGAUUGUAAACCUCUGUCAGGAAGCAUUAAAUGUGCGGAUAUCAACACCAUCCGCACUUGACUUAACUUCCAGAGGAAGCCCCGGCUAACUACGUGCCAGCAGCCGCGGUAAUACGUAGGGGGCAAGCGUUACUCGGAUUUAUUGGGCGUAAAGAGAAUUAAGGCGGUCAUGUAAGUCAAUGGUGAAAUCCCCCGGCUCAACUGGGGAAUUGCCUUUGAUACUGCGUGACUUGAGGACAGGAGAGGAAGGCGGAAUUCCCGGUGUAGCGGUGGAAUGCGUAGAUAUCGGGAGGAACACCUGAGGCGAAGGCGGCUUUCUGGACUGGUCCUGACGCUGAUAUUCGAAAGCUAGGGGAGCAAACAGGAUUAGAUACCCCAGUAGUCC
rnacentral:rRNA from 1 species